rnacentral:rRNA from 1 species
AUUGAACGCUAGCGGGAUGCUUUACACAUGCAAGUCGAACGAGUGGCGGACGGGUGAGUAAUAUAUCGGAACGUGCCAAGUAGCGGGGGAUUACUAAUCGAAAGAGUGGCUAAUACCGCAUACACUUGGAGCGGCCGAUCUCGGAUUAGCUAGUUGGUGGGGUAAAGGCUCACCAAUGCAACGAUCCGUAGCUGGUUUGCGAGGACGACCAGCCACACUGGGACUGCGACACGGCCCAGACUCUGACGGGAGGCAGCAGUUGGGAAGUUUGGACAAUGGGGGAGACCAUGAUCCCGCCAUCCCGCGGGUAUGAGAAGGCUGUCGUGUUGUAAAGUAGUUUUGGCAUAGAAGCGGUAUCUGCAGAAUAAGCACCGGCUAACGACGUGCCAGCAGCGGCGGUAAUAC